UCCGCACCGAGUAUCCGGAAUGGGAUCGGCAAUGAAACACGAAAGAACGACAGGAGCCAGGCGUCACCGCUCUGGUUACUCUACCGAGCUCUGAACAAGCUCUCUAUACUCUACGGUUGACAGCCGGAAGCAGGAGAAUUCCCCUCCACCCUCCCCUUCAGGGUGCCGCACUUUAUCCCUCCCUCGCGAUAACAUUGUUCGAAGUCUCCCACAGAUAUAUCGCUCCUUACCAUACAUCGUAAAUCCAUGAAACGGAAUAACACCACUUGGGGGAAAGACCAAGGUGUUUUCCAACGUCGCUGGUUUGCCUUGCAAAACCGCGUGGAUCACUUGACCCCCGGCACUUCUGUCAGUCGUGACUGGUGCAAGUAUCUCGGAAUCUCUUGAGAAGCACAGCAUUGUUUUAUAUAAAACGUCUUCGAAUACAAAGUAUUGAUCAUCGUUUCUCGCCGUUAAUUGUACAUCCUACAAUUGUAUCGACUCGACGGACGUUACUCUUUGUUUCUUUUACUUAAGAGAGCACAAUAUAAUUAAAAAAAAUAUACAAAUUACCAUUAUUAUCA